rnacentral:rRNA from 1 species
UACGAGGGGGGCAAAUGUUGUUCGGAAUCACUGGGCGUAAAGGGAGCGUAGGCGGGUUUCUAAGUCAGGUGUUUAAUCCCGGGGCCCAACCCCGGACAGGCACUUGAAACUGGGAAUCUUGAAUAGUGGAGAGGUCAGUGGAAUUGGGGGUGUAGCGGUGGAAUGCGUAGAGAUCCCCAAGAACACCAGUUGCGAAGGCGGCUGACUGGACACAUAUUGACGCUGGAGGCUCGAAAGCAUGGGGAGCAAACAGG